rnacentral:rRNA from 1 species
CCUUGGUACGCGGAGGACAUUAUAGAGUUCUACAACUCCCAAACCCAUGUGAACAUACCUCUCGUUGCCUCGGCAGGCGCCGUCCUACCCCUCGUAGGUAGGCGAAACCUGCCGACGGCCCCCGAAACUCUGUUUAUUAUAGCAUUAGACCUCUGAAAAAAGAUAACUAAAUCAGUUAAAACUUUCAACAACGGAUCUCUUGGUUCUGGCAUCGAUGAAGAACGCAGCGAAAUGCGAUAAGUAAUGUGAAUUGCAGAAUUCAGUGAAUCAUCGAAUCUUUGAACGCACAUUGCGCCCACCAGUAUUCUGGUGGGCAUGCCUGUUCGAGCGUCAUUUCAACCCUUAAGCCCUGGUUGCUUAGCGUUGGGAGCCUACCGGACCCCGUCCCGUAGCUCCCCAAAGUCAGUGGCGGAGCCGGUUUAACACUCCAGACGUAGUAGCUUUUACACAUCGCCUGUAGCCUAAGCCCGGCGCCCUGCCGUAAAACACCCCCCAAUGUAUAGGUUGACCUCGGAUCAGGUAGGAAUACCCGCUGAACUUAAGCAUAUCU